AAGCCAAAAGCCUUCUGGUUUUCAUGUGCUGAAAUAUUCAUCGGUACAAAUAAACUAACAGAAAUGCCAUAGCAAAGAAAAGCUAUAUUCAUAAACUGUACAAUGAAAUCGCAUGCAGAUGUGUAGUAAUAAAGGUUAAACUCCCUACUCUAUAUACAAAAUAAGUUCGGAUUCGGCUCAACUAGUCCGGGAUUCUCUGCAUUCAUGCAGUCAGGAGAUUUGGGGCCGUUCGAUCAAUGACCGUAUAGUCCAU
rnacentral:lncRNA from 1 species